CCCUUAGAUGUUCUGGGCUGCACGCGCGCUACACUGACACACUCAGCGAGUCUCCUGGCCCGAGAGGGUUGGGUAAUCAUGUGAGCGUGUGUCGUGAUGGGGAUAGAAUAUUGUAAUUAUUGCUCUUCAACGAGGAAUUCCUAGUAAGCGCGAGUCAGCAGCUCGCGCUGAUUACGUCCCUGCCCUUUGUACACACCGCCCGUCGCUCCUACCGAUGGGGUGAUCCGGUGAAUAAUUCGGACUGCAGCACUGCUUGGUCUCCAGGCUUUGCAGCGGAAAGUUUAGUGAACCUUAUCACUUAGAGGAAGGAGAANUCGUANCA
rnacentral:rRNA from 1 species